UCUGUGGUCACUCUGCUCAAGACAGCUCCUGAUCUCUGCCAGUCCUUCUGUGUUAGUGAACAGCAGGUCUAGUGGGGCACGAACCCUGGGGAGAGAAGUUGCAUAAACAACCCCUGCACCUGUAUCUCUUGUGGACGAUGGAUACUUUUGUCCAGAUAUGACAUUUCUUAUUACACACCAGGUAUGAAAAUCUUAUAGCUGCCAACGACACAGAAGUCUACUCUGUGGAAGAAGAUUCACAGGGAAGGGCAACAAAGCAGCCUGGAAAGAGGACCGUGAAUGCAGCAAGCAACCUACCCAGCAACACUGCCAUCAAAAUUAUUCACUCUUCAAGGAAUGGCAAACCAGCUCUCUGCUUUGCAACAGCAGAUUGAUGCUUUCUAACAAAAACACCUCUAUACACAUAAAUAUACACACAUAAGAUGGCUGAUAGAGAUACAAAUUUGUGAAAAUCACCUCAUAGCACUACAUAUGUUGUGAUAGCAAAUUCCAUUUACAUAAUAAAGUGUACUAGCAGUCAAGCCCAUACUGAGUGGGUGUAAGCAGGUAGCACGCCUCAGCCACGGCUCAGAAA